rnacentral:tRNA from 1 species
GCUGGCGUAGCUCAGAUGGUAGAGCACUUCACUCGUAAUGAAGGGGUCGGCGGUUCGAUUCCGCCCGCCAGCU